CCUACGGGGGACAGCAGUGAGGAAUAUUGGUCAAUGGCCGUAAGUCUGAACCAGCCAAGUAGCGUGAGGGAAGACUGCCCUAUGAGUUGUAAACCUCUUUUAUGCGGGGAUAAAGGUGUCCACGUGUGGAUGUUUGCAGGUACCGCAUGAAUAAGGACCGGCUAAUUCCGUGCCAGCAGCCGCGGUAAUACGGAAGGUCCGGGCGUUAUCCGGAUUUAUUGGGUUUAAAGGGAGCGUAGGCCGGUCUUUAAGCGUGCGGUGAAAUUUUGGGGCUCAACCAUGAGACUGCGGCUAGAACUGGAGACCUAGAGUGUGCGUACGGCAGGCGGAAUGUGUGGUGUAGCGGCGAAAUGCUUAGAUAUCACACAGAACCCCGAUUGCGAAGGCAGCUUACCAAAGCAUUACUGACGCUGAAGCACGAAAGCGCGGGUAUCGAACAGGAUUAGAUACCCUGGUAGUC
rnacentral:rRNA from 1 species